UACGGAGGGGGCCAGCGUUGUUCGGAAUCAUUGGGCGUAAAGGGCGCGUAGGCGGCCAUUCAAGUCGGACGUGAAAUCCCCCGGCUCAACUGGGGAACUGCGUCCGAUACUGUUCGGCUUGAGUCCCGGAGAGGGUAAUGGAAUUCCCAGUGUAGCGGUGAAAUGCGUAGAUACUGGGAGGAACACCAGUGGCGAAGGCGGUUACCUGGACGGGUACUGACGCUGAGGCGCGAAAGCCAGGGGAGCAAAC
rnacentral:rRNA from 1 species